rnacentral:ncRNA from 1 species
ACAGAGCCCCCAGCGGGGAGGCCUCCCGGACGAGACGCGCCGUACCCGGACUGAAAAGACGACGCUCC